GGAAGAUUCAAGUGGUAGCUCCAUACACAAACGUCGACCAGAGCGUUUUUCUGUGCAAAGAGCAUUGGAGCUACUUGGGUUAAUUGAUGGAGACAACUCAGAUUUGGACGUAUCUGACAACGAUGAUCCCAUCCUGGAUGGCAAUUACCAACCAUCACCACAGGAGGAAAGCAGCAGUGAGGACAGUAGUGAUGAUAAGGACACCAUUCCUGAGUCCACUGACCACAGCAAACAUCUCCGUAGUGCAGAUAAUAGUUAGCCAAGACCCAGUAGAUAUUUGUUUAUUUUAUGCAGUUAGGGCCUAAGGGCUAUGUGAAGGAUUGGAAGCAAAAUGCUUAUUUACAAAACUUGUUGACAGGUUCAUGGACAGGGACAGAGACAGGUAGAGGUACAGGUACAGGCACAGGUACAGGUUCAUCCCGCACUCUCAGACGUCGCCAUCAAAGUCAAGAGAUUGAGGCUGAUAGCUCAGAAGAUGACUUGGAAGAGCCAACACCAAGACCAAGCCAAACAAAAAAAAGAAGGGAGACUCUGAACAAGGACGUGGACUACGCUGGAAGGCUACUCCAUUGACACCAAACCUGGCAGAGUAUCAGCAGCAGGACGAAACUGAUCUAGACAGACAUGGCUGGAUCCCACUAGACUAUUUUGAACAGUACAUAGAUAGAGAUUUGAUGAUGACGAUUGCAGAAUGCUCUAAUAUUAUGUCACUGUCUAAGAGUGGGGAGCCACUUAACAUGACAGUAGAUGAGGUUUACCACUUUUUUGGUGCCUGUAUUUUGAUGUCCUGCAUCCAAUACCCAACCAUUAGGAUUUACUGCUCCAAAGCCUUGAAAGUCACUGCCAUCACUGACAAAUUCACACGUGCCAGAUUCUUCAAAUAAAAGUGGUUAUUGAUCAUGAUGCCAGAAGACCUGAGAAUGUCGGACAAAUUCUGGAAGGUGAGGCCUUUUCUGGAUCGGAUUCUGCGAGGCUGCUUGUCUUUGAAUCAACCUGAUUGCGCAUCUAUUGAUGAGCAGAUGAUUCCUUUCACAGGAGCCUGUCCGUGCCGACAAUAUCUGCCAAUGAAGCCAAACCCAGUUGGCAUAAAGAACUUUGUUUGUGCUACAGCAGUAUCAAGGCACAGGUUCAAUGAUUGAGAAGGUCGAAGAACCAGAGGGCCUGAGUUUGGGAAGCUUAGUCAUCGAGCGUCUGUGCCAAACUUUUCAUCGUGGCACAAAGGUGUAUUGUGAUCAAAGGUGCGCAACGAAUGAUGGAGAAAGAGCUGUACAUGACUGGUACAAUAAUGAAGAACCGACUUGCUGAAGCGAAGCAUAAGUUACCCAGUGACAAAGCCAUGAAAAACGCAGGAAGAGGUACCUCAUCAGAAGUUUCCGCUGAAGAUGGAAAGUUGUGUGUAGUGAAGUGGUACGACAACAAACCAGUAUUGCUGAUGUCUGUUGUUCAUGGUACACAGCCUAAAGACACCUGCCAGCGCUGGGACAAGAAAGUGAAACAAUAUGUCUCUGUCUCGCGACCAAGCAUUGUCCGUGAGUACAACAUCAAGAUGGGUGGAGUUUAUUUGAUGGAUAGAAUGAUAAGUUACUAUCGGAUGAGCACCUGUACUAAGAAGUGGACAAUGCGGAUGGUAAUGCACUUCACGGAUCUGGCAUUAGCCAACAGCUGGCUACUCUACCGAAAAGACCAUGCAAUAUGUGCUGGACCGAAGACAAGACCCAUCCAGUUCCUUCAGUUCCGCAUGGAAGUGGCUAAGAUCCUCUUGGCCCAGCAUCACGGUGCGGAUGCAGACCUUUCGACACAGUCAGAGGAAGAAGAAGAUUCAAACCAGGGAGUGAAACGUCAUGUGACAGAGUUGCACCAUGUCUCAGUCCGCAGGAGGGCUAAUGCCCACCUCCCAGAGAUGAUCGGACUGAAGAAUGCAAUGUGCUGCAGACAACUAGGCUGCACUGGAAGAACCCGAGUGCGUUGUAUGACCUGCAAAGUGUUCUUGUGCUUGCAAACCGAGCGCAACUGUUACUCAGCCUUUCACACAUAAGUGAUGGCAGCGAUUCUCAAGGUGUGUACAUGUUCCUUGGUUCCUCCAUGUUAUCCGACUCUGUGAAGGUCAAUCAAUCAGGUGACCUCUGGGCCUCUGUAAGCAGGCCUGGUCCUUCAGUGCUCAGUUAUCGCAGCCUUUAACAUGUUCCCUUUUUUACAUUACCAAUGCAAAAUGUCACAUGAGCUACUCACCUACUAUGUUUUUCUUUUUUUCACUAUGAUGUUCAAAACACAUUAGUAGCCUAAUGCAAGAGUGACUAUUUACAAUGCUUUGAAUGUUUUAUAUUUUGUUACAGACAUACAAUGUCAUCCUGCAACUG